ACCAUGUUGGCCAGGAUGGCCUCGAUUUCCUGACCUUGUGAUCCACCCGCUUUGGCCUCCCAAAGUGCUGGGAUUACAGGCCUGAGCCACCAUGGCUUUCUGAUUCUCUAACAGCCAUGGGCUACUAUGAAUAUUCUUAAUGUUCUUAGGCCAUGGAUCCUUUCAAUUAUCUGGUGAAUGCCUAUGGAUUCCCUUUUCAGAAUAAUGACUUUAAAUGCAUAAAAUAAAAUACAUAGAAUUACAAAAAAAACCCAUUAUCUCGAUGUAUACUCAUGAAAAUAUUUUUAGAAACUCACAUUUGUGAUAUGGUAAUACAGUUGGCCCUUGAACAACACUGCUUUGAACUGCAGGGGUCCACUUAUGUGUGAAUUUUCUUCCACCUCUGCCACCCCUGAGACAGCAAGACCAAGCCCUCACCUUCCUCAGCCUACUCAAAGUGAAGAUGACAAGGAUGAAGACCUCUAUGAUGAUCCACUUCCACUUAAUAAAUAGAAAUAUAUUUUCCCUUCCUCGUGAUUUUCUUAAUAAUAACAUUUUAUUUUCU
rnacentral:lncRNA from 1 species